rnacentral:rRNA from 1 species
UACGUAGGGGGGCGAGCGUUGUCCGGAAUCAUUGGGCGUAAAGCGCGUGUAGGCGGCCCGGUAAGUCCGGUGUGAAAAGUCAAAGGCUCAACCCUUUGAAAUGCCGCUGGAAAACUGUCUGGCUAGAAGUCCGGGAAAGGGGCGAGUGGGAACUCCUGGUGUAGCGGUGAAAAUGCGCAGAUAUCAGGAAGAACACCUAUGGCGAAAGGCAGCUCGCUGGGACGGUACUGACGCUGAGACGCGAAAGCGUGGGGGAGCGAACAGG